rnacentral:ribozyme from 13 species
GUUCUUCGGGGCGAGGAAGGUCCGGACUCCAUCCAACCGCGCUAGCACCUCGGGUAUCGCGCGGAGGGCGUUCUCCU